UUAUAUAAAGUAAAAAAAAUUACACUUAAUUUCGACUUAAACUUAGGGUAAAUAAUACCAUAUAUAAA
rnacentral:tRNA from 1 species